rnacentral:rRNA from 1 species
UACGUAGGGUGCAAGCGUUGUCCGGAAUUAUUGGGCGUAAAGAGCUCGUAGGUGGUUUGUCGCGUUGUUCGUGAAAUGCCACAGCUUAACUGUGGGCGUGCGGGCGAUACGGGCAGACUGGAGUACUGCAGGGGAGACUGGAAUUCCUGGUGUAGCGGUGGAAUGCGCAGAUAUCAGGAGGAACACCGGUGGCGAAGGCGGAUCUCUGGGCCGAUACUGACGCUGAGGAGCGAAAGCGUGGGGAGCAAACAGG